rnacentral:rRNA from 1 species
UACGUAGGGUGCAAGCGUUUGUCCGGAAUUAUUGGGCGUAAAGAGCUCGUAGGCGGUUUGUUGCGUCGGCUGUGAAAUCCCGAGACUCAACCUCGGGUCUGCAGUCGAUACGAGCAAACUAGAGUGUUGCAGGGGAGACUGGAAUUCCUGGUGUAGCGGUGAAAUGCGCAGAUAUCAGGAGGAACACCGGUGGCGAAGGCGGGUCUCUGGGCAACAACUGACGCUGGAGGAGCGAAAGCCGUGGGGAGCGAACAGG